rnacentral:rRNA from 1 species
UGGGGAAUUUUGGACAAUGGGGGAAACCCUGAUCCAGCCAUCCCGCGUGUGCGAUGAAGGCCUUCGGGUUGUAAAGCACUUUUGGCAGGAAAGAAACGUCAUGGGUUAAUACCCCGUGAAACUGACGGUACCUGCAGAAUAAGCACCGGCUAACUACGUGCCAGCAGCCGCGGUAAUACGUAGGGUGCAAGCGUUAAUCGGAAUUACUGGGCGUAAAGCGUGCGCAGGCGGUUCGGAAAGAAAGAUGUGAAAUCCCAGAGCUCAACUUUGGAACUGCAUUUUUAACUACCGGGCUAGAGUGUGUCAGAGGGAGGUGGAAUUCCGCGUGUAGCAGUGAAAUGCGUAGAUAUGCGGAGGAACACCGAUGGCGAAGUCAGCCUCCUGGGAUAACACUGACGCUCAUGCACGAAAGCGUGGGGAGCAAACAGG